rnacentral:rRNA from 1 species
GACGAACGCUGGCGGCGUGCUUAACACAUGCAAGUCGAACGAAGAGCGAUGGAAGCUUGCUUCUAUCAAUCUUAGUGGCGAACGGGUGAGUAACGCGUAAUCAACCUGCCCUUCAGAGGGGGACAACAGUUGGAAACGACUGCUAAUACCGCAUACGAUCUAAUCUCGGCAUCGAGGAUAGAUGAAAGGUGGCCUCUACAUGUAAGCUAUCACUGAAGGAGGGGAUUGCGUCUGAUUAGCUAGUUGGAGGGGUAACGGCCCACCAAGGCGAUGAUCAGUAGCCGGUCUGGGAGGAUGAACGGCCACAUUGGGACUGCGACACGGCCCAGACUCCUACGGGAGGCAGCAGUGGGGAAUCUUCCGCAAUGGACGAAAGUCUGACGGAGCAACGCCGCGUGAGUGAUGACGGCCUUCGGGUUGUAAAGCUCUGUUAAUCGGGACGAAAGGCCUUCUUGCGAAUAGUGAGAAGGAUUGACGGUACCGGAAUAGAAAGCCACGGCUAACUACGUG